GGUUCUUCUGGUUCUUUUAACCUCCCAAAUUCUGGGGACAUGUUCAUGAACAUGCAGAGUCUGAAUGGGGAUUCUUACCAGGGGUCCCAAGUCGGAGCCAAUGUGCAGUCACAGGUGGAUACCCUGCGUCAUGUUAUCAAUCAGACGGGAGGAUACAGUGAUGGCUUGGGAGGAAAUUCACUGUACAGUCCACAUAAUUUAAAUGCUAAUGGAGGCUGGCAGGACGCAACUACUCCAUCUUCUGUGACUUCCCCUACAGAAGGGCCGGGAAGUGUGCACUCUGAUACCUCUAACUAAUCUCCUAGCAACACUUUUUCCCUGAGCUGAGAUGCCUUGAUUAGCGCAUUCAGAGUCACAGGAGAAAAAGGAAAGAGUUUUUUGUAGCCAACCACCUACAGCUUUACUGUAAAACCUUGUCUUACUAGAAAACUUGGUAAAUCUGUUUUUUAAAGGUAUCAUAAUCAUUUGUAUUUAUACUUAAAACACACAAUGUUAAAAAGCACUUUAUCCAAUUAGGCCAAGAUUUAGCAUUGUUUAUAGCCCUGUAACUAUUUUAUCAUAAUUUAUUAUCAGCAGUUUUAACAACGUUGGUCUAACAGUUGCCAAUUACUUGGCCUUAAGGGUAAAAGUACAGGACAAGCUUAACCUCAAUAGCAAGAGCAGAUACAAAGAAACACCUCACCUAAAUUUAACUUCGUGCGUAUUUCCAUGGAAAGUCAAAAUGAAUUGCAGACUUUGAUUGUGUUUAAUCUUUUCAUAUCUCUUAUAGAGUUGGAAUAAAAAGAGCUGUUCGGUUAUUUCGGUUAACAAUGGUUGUGUUUAAGAAUCCUUAUUCGUCACAUUUUUGUUGUAAUCUAUAGUCUUACAAAUUAGAUUGGAAACCAGGAGCAUCUUUUCUUGCUAAAACUACCCGGACCCCGAGUCUCCUCUCUGUAUUUCGACACCGGACGUAGGUUGUUCUUAGGAGAUGAAGACACUUGCUGCUGAUCUCUGUGAAAGCCAAGACCCGGGGUUUUACAGUACGAGCUAGGUGCUGCACACGCCUGCCAAGAUUUGUUACCUCUUCUUGGCAGCAAACCACAAACAAACAAACAAAGGAAAAAAGCAAAGGAAAAAAGCACCAUCAUAUGGAGUGUUGUACAUAGUGUAGCAAAAGAGUAUUUAUACAUCUCACCAAUCAAACACAGCUUUAUUACCUCAUGCGAACUCAUACAAACCAAUAGACUUUCAACAUGUUCUGUAGCUUAGAGUGCUCACUUACUACCUCUGAACGAUACUCACGCUGUAGUUUGUCUCUUUCUUAUCUUUUUGCAUCUUGUAAUUAACUCUUUGUUUCCCCAUGAAAUGUAAUGUACAUUGUAAUCUUUUAAAAGAAUCAGGGUUGCAUUGGCAACUUUUAAAGACGCGAAAGUGGAAACAUGGGGUCUUAGGUUUAACACAAAACAGUGAAACUGUUGUAAAUACUGAGAAACAUUUUGAAUGUUCUUCAUCUUGUUACUAAUCCACGCAAAAACCAACAACUAAUUGUAAUGCAUACAGACUUCAGUAUUCAGUACUGUAUAUUUCCCCCUGUGUAACAGGGGGCCCUUUCUUUCUCUCUUUUGUAUUGUAUGCGAUUCUGAAACUGAUUGAGUCAUGAAAAUAAUUUGUGGCAGUGAUUCUAAUGUAUUAAACCGUUUCGUGUUACUUUCUAACUGGAUUACACCCUGGAUUGAAAAGUCUUCCUCGUGGUAGUUAUAUGUAGUUUCAAACAUGAAUAAACUUUUUGCUUUCAUGAUCAAA